UUUGAAACUUUUUUUUUUAAUCUUUAUAUUGCAUUUAUAGGUUCAGGAGAUCUGGAUGGACUUCCAAAGAAUUCUCCUAACAACAUGAGUGGCAUGAGCAAUCCACCCGGGACCCCGAGGGAUGAAGAUGUAGGAGGCAGCUACCUUCACUCCUUCCAGAAUGAGAAUCAGUACUCUCCUUCCAUGACCAUGAGCGUCUGAUGCCAG